rnacentral:rRNA from 1 species
AUGUCUGACAGCACUACAAGAUGGUACCAGCGUCCAACAGUGCCGCCAAGAGUCAAUAAUAUUCUCAAGAAAGAAUAUGUGCAUGUUCCAGACCAUGCAUCUCAACAUCUCAUAAAGCACCAAUCAUACAUACACAGAUCCAAAUUGGUAGUACUCUAUGCUGUAUUAUAUCAGAUCUGGCAGAGCCCCAGCAUCCAGUUGCAACGAAAACUUAGAAGUUAUUGCCUCCAUGAACAAACAAAUCAAGGGAGGAACAAGAACAGGAUGCAGAAAGGAGGAACCCAACCAACCCUUCUUAGAUUGCCUUUAGAAUUGAACUCAAGACCUAGAAUUACAUUCAUAUAG